rnacentral:rRNA from 1 species
ACUGCUCAGUAACACGUGGAUAACUUACCCUUAGGUGGAGGAUACGCUCGGGAAACUGAGAAUAAUACUCCAUAGAUCUAGGAUGCUGGAAUGCAUCUAGAUUGAAAGUUCCGGCGCCUAAGGAUAGGUCUGCGGACUAUCAGGUUGCUAGCCUACGACGGAUAUGGGUUGUGAGAGCAAUAGCCCAGAGACGAUAUCUGAGACACGAUAUCGGGCCCUACGGGGCGCAGCAGGCGCGAAAUCUUCACAAUGUGCGAAAGCACGAUGAGGGAAUCCCAAGUGCUUGCACGUAAGUGUAAGCUGUUUCUUAGUCUAAAAAACUGAGAGAGUAAGAGCUGGGUAAGACGGGUGCCAGCCGCCGCGGUAAUACCUGCAGCUCAAGUGGUGGCCGCUAUUAUUGGGCCUAAAACGUCCGUAGCCGGUUUAGUAAAUGCCUGGGUAAAUUGUGUAGCUUAACUAUACAAAUACCGGGUAGACUGCUAAACUUGGGACCGGGAGAGGCUAGAGGUACUCCUGGGGUAGAGGUGAAAUUCUGUAAUCCUAGGGGGACCACCAGUGGCGAAGGCGUCUAGCUAGAACGGGUCUGACGGUGAGGGACGAAGCCCUGGGGCGCAAACCGGAUUAGAUACCCGGGUAGUCCAGGGUGUAAACGCUGCUUGCUUGAUGUUAGUUGGGCUCCGAGCCCAACUAGUGUCGGAGAGAAGUUGUUAAGCAAGCUGCCUGGGAAGUACGGUCGCAAGACUGAAACUUAAAGGAAUUGGCGGGGAGCACAGCAACGGG